GAUGAACGCUGGCGGCGUGCCUAAUACAUGCAAGUCGAGCGAACAGACGAGUAGCUUGCUCCUCUGACGUUAGCGGCGGACGGGUGAGUAACACGUGGAUAACCUACCUAUAAGACUGGGAUAACUUCGGGAAACCGGAGCUACUACCGGAUAAUAUAGUGAACCGCAUGGUUCAAUAGUGAAAUACGGUUUUGCUGUCGCUUAUAGGUGGAUCCGCGCCGCAUUAGCUAGUUGGUAAGGUAACGGCCUACCAAGGCAACGAUGCGUAGCCGACCUGAGAGGGUGACCGGCCACACUGGAACUGAGACACGGCCCAGACUCCUACGGGAGGCAGCAGUAGGGAAUCUUCGGCAAUGGGCGAAAGCCUGACGGAGCAACGCCGCGUGAGUGAUGAAGGUCUUCGGAUCGUAAAACUCUGUUAUUAGGGAAGAACAAAUGUGUAAGUAACUAUGCACGUCUUGACGGUACCUAAUGAGAAAGCCACGGCUAACUACGUG
rnacentral:rRNA from 1 species